UAGAGUUUGAUCAUGGCUCAGAACGAACGCUGGCGGCAGGCCUAAAACAUGCAAGUCGAGCGCCCAGCAAUGGGAGCGGCGGACGGGUGAAUAACACGUGGGAAUGUACCUUUCGGUACGGAACAACUCAGGGAAACUUGAGCUAAUACCGUAUGCGCCCUAACGGGGAAAGAUUUAUCGCCGAAAGAUCAGCCCGUGUCCGAUUAGCUAGUUGGUGAGGUAAUGGCUCACCAAGGCUCCGAUCGGUAGCUGGUUUGAGAGAACGAUCAGCCACACUGGGACUGAGACACGGCCCAGACUCCUACGGGAGGCAGCAGUUGGGAAUCUUGGACAAUGGGCGAAAGCCUGAUCCAGCCAUGCCGCGUGAGUGAUGAAGGCCUUCGGGUUGUAAAGCUCUUUUGCCAGGGAUGAUAAUGACCGUACCUGGAGAAUAAGCCCCGGCUAACUUCGUGCCAGCAGCCGCGGUAAUCCCAAUCGCC
rnacentral:rRNA from 1 species